GUAAACACGUGGGUAACCUACCUAUAAGACUGGGGAUAAAUUUCGGGGAAACCGGAGCUAAUACCGGGAUAACAUUUGGAACCGCAUGGUUCUAAAGUGAAAGAUGGUUUUGCUAUCACUUAUAGAUGGACCCGCGCCGUAUUAGCUAGUUGGUAAGGUAACGGCUUACCAAGGCGACGAUACGUAGCCGACCUGAGAGGGUGAUCGGCCACACUGGAACUGAGACACGGUCCAGACUCCUACGGGAGGCAGCAGUAGGGAAUCUUCCGCAAUGGGCGAAAGCCUGACGGAGCAACGCCGCGUGAGUGAUGAAGGGUUUCGGCUCGUAAAACUCUGUUAUUAGGGAAGAACAAACGUGUAAGUAACUGUGCAUGUCUUGACGGUACCUAAUCAGAAAGCCACGGCUAACUACGUGCCAGCAGCCGCGGUAAUACGUAGGUGGCAAGCGUUAUCCGGAAUUAUUGGGCGUAAAGCGCGCGUAGGCGGUUUCUUAAGUCUGAUGUGAAAGCCCACGGCUCAACCGUGGAGGGUCAUUGGAAACUGGGAAACUUGAGUGCAGAAGAGGAAAGUGGAAUUCCAUGUGUAGCGGUGAAAUGCGCAGAGAUAUGGAGGAACACCAGUGGCGAAGGCGACUUUCUGGUCUGUAACUGACGCUGAUGUGCGAAAGCGUGGGGAUCAAACAGGAUUAGAUACCCUGGUAGUCCA
rnacentral:rRNA from 1 species